rnacentral:rRNA from 1 species
UACGUAGGGUGCGAGCGUUAAUCGGAAUUACUGGGCGUAAAGCGUGCGCAGGCGGUUCGCAAAGUCUGAUGUGAAAGCCCCGGGCUCAACCUGGGAACUGCAUUGGAAACUAACGGGCUCGAGUGUGGCAGAGGGGGGUGGAAUUCCACGUGUAGCAGUGAAAUGCGUAGAGAUGUGGAGGAACACCGAUGGCGAAGGCAGCCCCCUGGGCUAACACUGACGCUCAGGCACGAAAGCGUGGGGAGCGAACGGG